ACGAACGCUGGCGGCGUGCUUCACACAUGCAAGUCGCACGGUAAGGCCCCUUCGGGGGUACACGAGUGGCGAACGGGUGAGUAACACGUGAGCAACCUGCCCUUGACUCUGGAAUAACAGUUGGAAACAGCUGCUAAUACUGGAUAUUCAUCGUCUCCUUCCUGGGGGGUGGUGGAAAGCUCCGGCGGUCAGGGAUGGGCUCGCGGCCUAUCAGCUUGUUGGUGAGGUAAUGGCUCACCAAGGCUUCGACGGGUAGCCGGCCUGAGAGGGCGACCGGCCACACUGGGACUGAGAUACGGCCCAGACUCCUACGGGAGGCAGCAGUGGGGAAUAUUGCACAAUGGGCGCAAGCCUGAUGCAGCAACGCCGCGUGCGGGAUGACGGCCUUCGGGUUGUAAACCGCUUUCAGUAGGGACGAAGGGUGACUGACGGUACCUACAGAAGAAGGACCGGCUAACUACGUG
rnacentral:rRNA from 1 species